GCCAGCAUGAUGUAGUGGUUUGAGUGAUGGACUAUGACUCUGGAGGCCAGGGUUCAAAUCCUGGCUUGGCC